rnacentral:tmRNA from 2 species
GGGGGUGAAAUUGGCUUCGACGGGGUUGUUUGGAGCCUUGGAUUGCGUACCGUGUUAUCCGCAGACACGUUAAACAGCGGUAAAAAAAAUAACUGGCGAAUCUUACGCCCUCGCCGCCUAAUUUAAUUAGGUAGCCGAUCCUGCAGAAUGCUCGUAUCCGUUCUGUAACGAUCGUCGCUUAGGUACGAUAGCUGAUCCGAUCUCCGGGUAGGAAAGGCGAACCUCUCACCGGAUAUUAGCCGCGAGAUCCUGUCGGAUGGAGCAAGCGGAAUGAAACAAAAAGUCUGACUAUGUGCGUAGCAUAUCCACUGAGACACAACUUCGGACGCGGGUUCGACUCCCGCCACCUCCACCA